AAUGUCCUCGCCAUUCUAUUCAAAGAGAAGAGUCAUCCUGGAACAGCCGUGCUGGAACUCUCAGAACUCAGUGUGCUUGAGGGGUAUGUGGAUCUGUCUUUUGGUUGUGGGUACUUUAAGUGAUGAGAAGUUUAAUGUCAGGAGGCACAUGGCGCAACAGGAGACUCCAAGAACAAAAGUCACAGUACAUCCAGGACUCCAGGAAGUGGGGCUGGAUCCAAGGCAGCCUGAACUGGCAGCAGCAGAAGUUAAUGCGGCUUCACUGGUAUGCUCCAGAAUAUGUGAUUUUGCUGUUACCCACGUAUUAAAUUCCCGAGAGUUAGAAUUUGUUUCAACCACUAUCUCAGCAGUCAUCCACAGCUGAAGGAAGAGAAGGCACAUCAUGCGAUGUAAAUAAAGGCCACCUAAACUGCUCCUUUAGCAGGAGCUAUGAGAGGACAAUUUCCCAUAGAAGGGACUGGGUGAGGAGGCCCUAUGAUUGACAUGCCUCGGAUAGUGCAUAUGUGUGUGUCCAGUGGAGGCCAGGAGGCUGGGAGUGGUAAGGCACAUCAGAAAUAUGAUACUCUUGGGCCGGGCAUGGUGGUUCACUCCUGUAAUUCCAGCACUUUGGGAGGCCAAGGCAGGCAGAUCACCUGAGGUCGGGAGUUCAAGACCUGACCAACAUGGAGAAACCCUGUCUCUGCUAAAAAUACAAAAUUAGCCAGGCGUGGUAGUGCAUGCCUGUAAUCCCAGCUACUCGGGAGACUGAGGCGCGUGGCUGUAAUCCCAGCUACUCAGGAGGCUGAGGCAG
rnacentral:lncRNA from 1 species